rnacentral:rRNA from 1 species
CCCUUAGAUGUUCUGGGCCGCACACGCGCUACACUGAAGGAGGCAGCGUGUACUCCUGGAUCGAAAGAUUUGGGUAACCCGCGAAUCUCCUUCGUGCUAGGGAUUGAGGUUUGCAAUUAUCCUUCAUGAACGAGGAAUUCCAAGUAAGUGCAAGUCAUAAGCUUGCGCUGACUACGUCCCUGCCCUUUGUACACACCGCCCGUCGCUACUACCGAUUGAAUGAUUUAGUGAGGACUUCGGACUGGGACCGAUGCGGCUUUCGGGCUGCGUCGGUAUUCUGGAAAGAUGUCCAAACUGUAUCAUUUAGAGGAAGUAAAANUCGUANCA